rnacentral:tRNA from 2 species
GCCGGGUUAGCUCAGUUGGUAGAGCAGCGCAUUCGUAAUGCGAAGGUCGGAGGUUCGACUCCUCUACCCGGCACCA